rnacentral:lncRNA from 1 species
AGAGCGCGUGCGGCCGCCGAGCACAUGGGCCCGCGGGCCGGGCGGGCUCGGGGCGGCCUGGGCGAGGAGGGCUGGCGAGGAGCCGGGGGACAUGGGGGGACCGCGGCCACCCCCGGCCUACCGCGAGUGGAUUUGCGAACGGAAAGGAUGUUGGCGGCCCUGGUGACCUUUGGAGACACGGCUGGAUCCACCCUCCA